AUUGAACGCUGGCGGCAGGCCUAACACAUGCAAGUCGAGCGGAUGAAGGGAGCUUGCUCCUGGAUUCAGCGGCGGACGGGUGAGUAAUGCCUAGGAAUCUGCCUGGUAGUGGGGGAUAACGUCCGGAAACGGGCGCUAAUACCGCAUACGUCCUGAGGGAGAAAGUGGGGGAUCUUCGGACCUCACGCUAUCAGAUGAGCCUAGGUCGGAUUAGCUAGUUGGUGGGGUAAAGGCCUACCAAGGCGACGAUCCGUAACUGGUCUGAGAGGAUGAUCAGUCACACUGGAACUGAGACACGGUCCAGACUCCGACGGGAGGCAGCAGUGGGGAAUAUUGGACAAUGGGCGAAAGCCUGAUCCAGCCAAGCCGCGUGUGUGAAGAAGGUCUUCGGAUUGUAAAGCACUUUAAGUUGGGAGGAAGGGCAGUAAGUUAAUACCUGGCUGUUUUGACGUUACCAACAGAAUAAGCACCGGCGAACUUCGU
rnacentral:rRNA from 1 species